rnacentral:rRNA from 1 species
CCUACGGGAGGCAGCAGUGAGGAAUAUUGGUCAAUGGACGAGAGUCUGAACCAGCCAAGUAGCGUGAAGGAUGACUGCCCUAUGGGUUGUAAACUUCUUUUAUAUGGGAAUAAAAUGUUCCACGUGUGGGAUUUUGUAUGUACCAUAUGAAUAAGGAUCGGCUAAUUCCGUGCCAGCAGCCGCGGUAAUACGGAGGAUCCGAGCGUUAUCCGGAUUUAUUGGGUUUAAAGGGAGCGUAGGUGGCUUGUUAAGGCAGUUGUGAAAGUUUGCGGCUCAACCGUAACAGUGCAGUUGGAACUGGCAGGCUUGAGUACAGUAGAGGUGGGCGGAAUUCGUGGUGUAGCGGUGAAAUGCUUAGAUAUCACGAAGAACUCCGAUUGCGAAGGCAGCUCACUGGACUGCAACUGACACUGAGGCUCGAAAGUGUGGGUAUCAAACAGGAUUAGAUACCCUUGUAGUC